UACAGAGGGGGCAAGCGUUGUUCGGAAUUACUGGGCGUAAAGGGCGCGUAGGCGGUCUUCUAAGUCUUGUGUGAAAUCCCUCGGCUUAACUGAGGAACUGCACGGGAUACUGGAUGACUUGAGUUCGGGAGAGGGAAGCGGAAUUCCUGGUGUAGCAGUGAAAUGCGUAGAUAUUCGGAAGAACACCAGUGGCGAAGGCGGCUCACUGGUCCGGUACUGACGCUGAGGUGCGAAAGCGUGGGGAGCAAACAGG
rnacentral:rRNA from 1 species